rnacentral:rRNA from 1 species
GACGAACGCUGGCGGCGUGCUUAACACAUGCAAGUCGAACGGAAAGACCGUGCUUUUGUGGGGUGCUCGAGUGGCGAACGGGGGAGUAGCACGUGAGUAACCUGGCCUUGACUUUGGGAUAACCUCAGGAAACUGGGGCUAAUACCGGAUAGGAGCUCCUGCUGCAUGGGGGGGGUUGGAAAGUUUCGGCGGGUGGGGAUGGACUCGCGGCUUAUCAGUUUGUUGGUGGGGUAGUGGCUUACCAAGGCUUUGACGGGUAGCCGGCCUGAGAGGGUGACCGGCCACAUUGGGACUGAGAUACGGCCCAGACUCGAACGGGAGGCAGCGGUGGAGAGUAUUGCACAGUGGGCGGGAGCCUGAUGCGACAACGCCGCGUGCGGGAUGACGGCCUUCGGGUUGUAAACCGCUUUCGCCUGUGACGAAGCGUGAGUGACGGUAAUGGGUGAAGAAGCACCGGCUAACUACGUG